GUCCUAUGGUGCGGACACACAAGGAUGUACUCCUGAAGUCGCUUCCAAGCUUCAGGAAUGGUUUCAUCAGAUGCUUGCUGAAAGCUCAAAAUCCUUCCAGGAAGAGC